rnacentral:lncRNA from 1 species
UGCAUCGUAUACAUUAGAUUUUAUGGGCUUCCAAGUAAAACAGGGUUCAACUCUCCCGAACUCACUCUAUAUUACAAUAUUUCUGCAUAGGAAACUCUCCCCUCUCCUUAAAUUGGAUCGAUAUGGUUUGCCAGUAAAUAAUUCGUCGUUUCUAGUUAGGGGAACAUAAGAAACAUUAUAGUGAUAAGAAUUAUAUGGAUUCGAGCUAAUGUCACCAUUAAAGGAUUUUUCAGAACAAAUGAAAGUGAAAUUUGAUUGGUACAUUUCCAAUGACUUUGUGAGGACGCUGCAACGGAUUACGUCGGAUGGAUCGAGUUGUCAAUUCAUAAUAGUGUCGCAAUUCCCGCAGCUGACGGUUCUUAAGGUUAAAUCGUCAGUCCUGACACAAAAUUAUUUUACGUAUCCGUAUACAUAUUUAUACGUAUACGUAUGUAUACGUACGUAUUUAUUAUUUUACGUAUCCCAGUACGUGAAAACGUUAUCAAUUUAGAAUGAAGUUGCACGUUUAAAAUGAAGCCGAAUUUGGAAUAUAGGUGGGUGAGAAAGUUGCACAGGGAUCCAGAAUGAACGAUUGACCUGAACAUAAUAUAAGCGAAAACAAUUUAUUUACAGCAAUCUAGCAAUUUAUAAUAAUAUAAGAGUCUACAAUCUACAAAAAU